GCGCUAGGCUGUGCUGGAUUCUUUUAUCCAAAACGACGCCUUUUCAUAUCCUAAGUCCCUAACCUCUUCUAACGACCACAAUCUUCACCUCCGCCACCGCCACAUAAACACCACUCCAACUACCACAAAUGGCCGAACCACCACCGACACUCCUCCAAAAAGUCCUGACGGUAGACACAAAAUUCUCCCACUACCUCCAUUCCAAAUUCCACACUCGCCUCCCAAUAUUCUUUCUCCUCAUCCUAGAAAUUUCCGCUGACUUCCGCUUUUCCUUCCCAAUUUCCCUCUCCCUUUUGUUUGCCCUUCCCCUCCCUUCCCUCCUUCCUUUCUUUUCCUCUCUCCUACUUGGUCUCCUCCUUGAUAUCGCCACCGUCGGCCUUGUCAAAAUCCUCUUGCGCCGCCCUCGCCCUCCUUAUAACCACCUCUCCUCCAUGUCCACCCCUGUCUCCGCCGACCACUUUUCCUUCCCUAGUGGCCAUUCCUCUCGUGUUUCCUUUGUUGCUGCAUUGGUUUUUCUCUAUAAGGAGGUGAUGGAGGUAGCGGCUGUGGAGGUGAGGGAAAAAGGUGGAGUCUUUGGAAGUUGGGUGGGGGAAGACGGGAAGUUGGUGGACGUCGUGGUGGUGGGAGUUUGUGUUUGGGCAGUUGUUACGGCGGUUUCUAGGGUUUUAUUAGGGAGGCAUUACUUUUUUGAUGUCUUCGCAGGGUUUUGUUUGGGAGUGAUUGAAGGGAUUUUCGCCUUUCGGGUUUUGAGGUUUGAGGAUAUUUUGAGGUUUUGUAGUGUUCAAAGAUCUAUGAAAUUUAAACAACGUGAACCUUAAAAAGUUUUGGUUCAGAUAGUAGACAGGAGUAGAUGAUGGACUAUGCUUCAAAUAAGGAAUGAUGCUAUCCAUGAUGUUUACAGAAUGUGACUAAAUUUACAAGUAUGUUUGACUUAGUUAGAUGAUGAGCACCUUUCGUCAUCAAAUCUGGUCAAGGUAGAAGCUAAGUGCUUGGAAUGGAAGGCAUGGGAGAUACUUCCUUUGAAACAGAUCAUCGGAUGGACCUCUCUGGGUUUAUCUUAAUGCCAGAUCCAUAUUCAAGGUAUCAUUUUCUCUGAUGCGAAGCCCCAGAAUUCGAAGAUGAUUGGUGCGAAUUCUCUGAACACACAGAAAACUGAAAUGUGCUGCUGGCGAAUGCCAUUUAGCCAACUAAGUUGUGGCAUUGUUUUGUCUCAAUUUGCAUAGUUCAUUGGCCCUUUGGCAUUAAAUAUGAUUUCUCGAUUCUCUUUAAUAUCACAUAAAUGCAAUUUGGUGCUUGCUACAA